UACGAAGGGGGCUAGCGUUGCUCGGAAUCACUGGGCGUAAAGGGUGCGUAGGCGGGUCUUUAAGUCAGGGGUGAAAUCCUGGAGCUCAACUCCAGAACUGCCUUUGAUACUGAAGAUCUUGAGUUCGGGAGAGGUGAGUGGAACUGCGAGUGUAGAGGUGAAAUUCGUAGAUAUUCGCAAGAACACCAGUGGCGGAAGGCGGCUCACUGGCCCGGUACUGACGCUGAGGUGCGAAAGCGUGGGGAGCAAACAGG
rnacentral:rRNA from 1 species